ensembl:lncRNA
GACAUCACUGGCAGGGAUAACUGCAAGAGGGAUAGGGCAUGUUUCUCCGCUCCACCUUCCUGUAAUCCAGGUGCAGAAGGUUCCUGCUAUUUUCUUUCCACAAGAGGAGUAAGCGGAAAUGCAGAUAAUUUUACUUUUGAGCUGAGUGGCGAGACAGAUGGUUACAUUGGAGCUGGCCUCUCUCGAGACAGCAGUGGUCAAGGUGCCACCGUCUAUUCUUGUGCCAAAUUCAAUGGUGCACUGAGGUUAAUUCGUUCCACACUAAACAAUCAAAUAUUGAUGCAGGAUAAUACGUUUAUCCCUGGAAGCUUCCGAGGCUCAGUCAUUGGUAGAAAGAUUCAAUGCAUUUUCAAUGCUGCAGGUCUCAGCAGCACCACCCGUUCUGCAACCACAGACACUUUUGUCUUCCUUUUAACAGGCAGCAUAUCAAAUGGUUCUCUGGAUUCUCCAGUCAGUAGACUGACCACAAAUGGGUCAGUGGACUUAAGCAACCCCAACAGCACAGACGUUUCAGUAAUAACACCCAGUACAAAUGCCACUGCAUCUAAUACCACAGCAACAUCAACCACCACUGCAGCAUCUACAAACUUGACCCAGACGGUAUUUCCCAACAUAACCGCCAACCUGACCCAGACAAACCCUCCCAACAUUACCGCCAACCUGACCCAGACACACCCUCCCAACAUAACCGCCAACCUGACCCAGACACACCCUCCCAACAUAACCGCCAACCUGUCCCAGACAAACCCUCCCAACAUAACCGCCAACCUGACCCAGACAAACCCUCCCAACAUAACCGCCAACCUGACCCAGACAAACCCUCCCAACAUAACCGCCAACCUGACCCAGACAAACCCUCCCAACAUAACCGCCAACCUGACCCAGACAAACCCUCCCAACAUAACCGUCAACCUGACCCAGACACACCCUCCCAACAUAACCGCCAACCUGACCCAGACACACCCUCCCAACAUAACCGCCAACCUGACCCAGACACACCCUCCCAACAUAACCGCCAACCUGACCCAGACAAACCCUCCCAACAUAACCGCCAACCUGACCCAGACAAACCCUCCCAACAUAACCGCCAACCAGACUCAAACACGCCCUUCCACCGUGAUUGCUAACCUGACUGCGACACCAUCAGGCUCUAAUACCUUGAACAACAGCAACGUCAAUAAUCUAUCACUAGAUAUCACUGGCAGGGAUAACUGCAGGAGGGAUAGAGCAUGUUUCUCUGCUCCACCUACUUGUAAUCCAGGUGCACAAGAUUCCUGUUAUUUCCUAUCUGCAAAAGGAGUAAGCGGAAGUGCAGAUAAUUUUACCUUUGAACUCAGUGGCGAGUCAGAUGGUUACAUUGGAGCUGGCCUCUCUCGAGACAACAGUGGUCAAGGAGCCACUGUCUAUUCUUGCGCCAACAUCAAUGGUGCACUGAAGUUCUUCCGUUCCACACUGAACAAUCAAAGACUGGCUCAGGAUAACACUUUCAUCCCUGGAAGUUUCCGUGGUUCGGUGAAUAGAGGAAAGAUUCAGUGCAUUUUCAAUGCUGCAGGUCUCGGCAGCAUCACUCGUGCGGCAACCACAGACACUUAUGUCUUCUUUUUAACAGGCAGUGUCUCAAAUGGCUCUCUGGAUUCUCCAGUCACUAGACUGACUACAAAUGGGUCAGUGGACUUAAGCAACCCUAACAGCACAGAUGUUUCAGUAAUAACACCCAGUACAAAUGCCACCACAACAGCCCCGAACAUCACCACAUCUAGUUCCUCUUUAGCAUUAAACACCACUACAGCCCCGAACACCACCGCAUCUAAUUCCACUGCAUCCUCAAAUACUACUGCAUCAUCAAAUGCCACUGCAUCUAAUGCCUCUGGAUUAUCUACAGCUAAUAAUGUUACAACAAAUGAUAAGGUCACCAAGGACAACUGUAAAAAGGACAGGGCAUGUUUCUCCACUCCAGCCAACUGUGAUCCAUCAAGCUCAAGUAGCUGCAUUUUUGCCUCCACAAGAGUGGUGAACGGAAACUUAGACAAUCUCACUUUUGAGCUCAGUGGGGAUUCAAAUGGUUACAUCGCAGUUGGCCUGUCUCGAGACAAGAAGGAGGGUGAUGAUGACACUGUCUACUCUUGUGCCAAUGACAAUGGUGUGGCGAAGUUCAUUCGUGCCACUCUGAACAACAACAUUCUGACUCCAGAUAAGACUUUUAACCCUGGAUCCUUCCGUGGCUCUGUGAACGGCACAAGGAUUCAGUGCAUUUUUGUAGCUGCAGGUCUCAGCAGCAACGCCCGUGCGGCAAACACAAAUGCUUUCCUCUAUUUCUUCACUGGCAACUUUACAAAUGGCACUUUAGGGUCUCCAGUCACACGAAUGUUUACAAAUUCAUUGGUUGAUCUAACCAACACUAGCAGCUCAGACGUUGCCAUAAUAACACCCACUACAAGCACAGAUAAUACUACCACUAUUACGACUACUACAGCAAAACCUGCUACUACAGCAGGGAGCAAUGCACUGCAUCAUGCUGCAUCUCAGGCUGCUCUGGUAAUUCUCUCAGGGAUCCUUGCAGUGCUCCUGUUGUAAGGAUUCUGCCAACACAUUUGCUUUCUGAAACUGGUCGAUGAGCACUGAACGCUUGAUGAACCCAACACCAAAGUAUAUGUAAUUCAGCAUAUUUAUAACUGUGCAAUAAUGCGACUCUGGGAACAAUGAAGAAAGAAGCAGAAAAUAUGGGGAAGAGGGCAUUACAUUAUUUAUUUAAUCUUAGUGUUUGUGUGUGAGAGAUUGUGUUUAUGAAUGUUUUUGCGAGCGUUAGUGUUUGUAUUCUGCUAAUGUACUGCUAUUUAAAAUCAGGCUCCUGCACAGAGAGGGCUGAUGAAAAUUAAAAUCAGUAUAUUAAUAUAAUUGUGCAAGUGUGAGCCAUCAUGUGGCUAAAAUGAUCUAAGAUAAUUGUUUUCAAAUGUCUUAAUUUAUUGUUACUGUUGCCUCAAACCAUUGAUUUCCUGUAAGUUAUAAAUAUAGUCUUUUUUUUUUAAUAUGCAUAAUAAAAUGUUCAAGUAAAAAAAAUGAAACUGGUAGAUCAGUGUUUGGACUAAAGGUUAAAGUGGCAAAGAACAAACUAAAUGCAAACAGCAUGCAUAGUCAGGAUAGUAAAUUAGUGAAACACUUCCCAUAUUGUUGAUCAAAGUCUGCACAUGCAAUCAAGCACUACGGUUUUUCACAAGACAUUUGUGACACUUGGUAGAAGUCGAAUUAGACGCAACAUGGACAGGUUAUGUAGCAUUCUCAUGCACAAAAACUAUGAACAAAACCACCCACCAAUCAAACGUGUUUAUUUUUAAAUAAUUAAUCAUCUUAGUACUGUGUUGGGUCACCAAAUUGUGGACAGAUAAAGUGCUUAAUAUUCAAAUCACUUCAAAGGCAAUGCAAUAGAUUAAUGAUAUUUUAAAUCUGUUUGAUUUUUGUCUUUGCAUUACAAAAUGAUGCAGAAGCAACAAUCUGUUUUCUACUAACCUUUACUGAUUAAAAAAAUGGUGUAGAAACAAUUCUUACUAAGAAAUUGGUAGUAAAUUUUACAUUUAAUUAUGAAGUAACAGUGAAUUAAACAAUACAUUUUGAAGUAGAAAGACUGUAAUAGUAUUUUGUUUUUUACUCUUUUAAAAUUGUUUAACUUUAUUUUUUUUUUACAGUGUUCUAUUUUGAUAAGGAGUGUUUUGUACACGUUAUAAAAUAACUCAAAAUACAGAUGCUCUACAGAAGAGAAUAGGACAAUCAUAGUUUAAUACCAACAAACAUCUUAGAUUUACAUAUGGGUAGAUAUGUACUGAAGGCUUAAAUAUUCAAUUGUAAAUAUCCUUUAUUAUUCUUAUUUUGAUUUUGUUUUUGUCAAAUAUCUGAAUAUUUUAUCUUCUGAACACUUACAUUAAAAAUACACAAAGUACUUAAGUACUUGUACUGUAAAAACCUUUGUGGGUUAAUAAAUCCAAGUGGAUCAGCUUAAAAGUUUAUCAUCCAAAAAUAGUUUUUGGUCUGAUUAUAAACACUCACUGGUUCUUUUUAAUCCAUCAGCAUGUCACAUUUCAUUCAUCUCUAUCACGUGUCAUUUUCUUAGCUUCUUUCCAAAAAAAAAACCAACAACAACAACAAAAAAAAACAAAUAAAUGAAAAUAUUGACAUCCACAUUAUUUACAUAGGCAAAAGAACUGUACGUCUAGUCAAACAAACUGCACAAACAAGUGCAUCAGGGAAAAGAAAAACACUGAGCAGACAUUUCUAGUAAUAAGCAAGUAAGAAUUGUGGCAGAUUAAUGUUGGUGGAACUUAAACAUGAAAAAUAUAAAACACAUGAGGAGCUGUUGCUUUCAAAGCUCAAGAUGCCAGUACAGAUGCAAUCAUAGUGUGCUUCCUCACAUGUUCGUGCUCUUCUGAAUCAGCAAUUUGAGAACAUUUACAUUUACGUUUACAUUUACAUUCAUGUUCAUGGAUUUUGAAGAAAACUCAAUGAAUAAGAAAAACAAGUGACAUUCUAAGAAGUGAACAGCAGUAGAUGUAGAGGCAAAUGGCGAUCGAGGGGCAAAUAUUUACUACAUUGCUAUAUGAACAACUAAUGUGAAUAUUAACAUUUUAAAGAUCAUCAGAAACAGAUCUUCUCCUCGUGUCAGACCAGAUGCAGGACAGUGUUUGUGUGCUUUCAGGUAGUUUUGACAGGCAGCUUUCAUGCAUAAAACAACAAAAUGCAAAUGUCUGUAGACCUUGAGAUGUCCAGAAGAUGGGAAAGAACAGACAAAUUGAAAAAUGGCAAGUGCAACAAAAACUGGAGAAACUGUCAUGUGGACCACAUUUUUUUGUUAUUCCGGAGCUUGACAGCUUCAGUUUUCAUGUCAUACAAGUUAGAACGACAUGGAAUAACAACAGUUUAAGUAAAAAUGUGGUGCCACUGAAUUUGAAUACAAAAAUGAAUACAAAUGUAGUUCAGGAAGAUUGUCUCUCAGUUUUCUCUCAGGAGAGGACAGCUGACAAACAGUUUGGUGGAUUUUGCUAUUGCUGUUUACAUGUAAUAUUCAAUGUAAGCAUGUCAACAUGAACUUCAUCCUUUGACUUGAUUCAGAUAAAAGUGUCCGCCACAAUUUCAAUAGCUUUGACAUUUUGAUAUAAUUUAUCACUAAAAGUUGAAGUUACAAGUUAUCAUUAUUUUCAGUGAAAAUGUGUUUACUUGUUUUGUUACUAAAAGAUGCAAAAUACUGAUUUGUGUGUGUGUGUGUGUGUGUGUGUGUGUGUGUGUGUGUGUGUGUGUGUGUGUGUGUGUGUGUGUGUGUGUGUGUAAUUUUUUUCCAGCACCAGUCAGAGUGAAAAGUGGGAGGGGAAACAGGAUCAUGUGACUCUGAUGUAAAAUUAAACUAAUGUGUUUCUCCCAGGGACAACAUUCAUUCAAACUUACUCAAAUGAAAGCAGAAAGAAUCACGCACCACCUGAAAUGAACAUGAGGGACUUCUACAAGAGUAUGUGGUUUUUACUGGGUAAGUUAAACACAAUCUGUUUAAUAUCUUAAUGACCUUCAGUCUGCUUUCAGCUUCAUCUUUCAGAGAGAGAAACACUUAACAGAAGACCUUCAGUUAUAAUUGAAUGUGUUAUUCUUUUUUAAAUCUUAUCUAAAUACACUUAAACAAUAUACUUUUACUUGAGAAGCUAAUUACACAAGACAUUAAUACAUGAUUUUAGAAAUCGUACUGAAUUUUACCCAAUUGGCAAAUAUAUUUAAAGUAUAAAUCUAACAGAAUACAGGUUUAUAAUCAUAAGAAAAAUCCCUUUUAGUUGCAAAAUACUAAGAAUCAUUCUGUGUUUCUCAUUUUAAGGCUUUUUCUCAGUUCAAACGAAGGCAGAAAAAGAAG